rnacentral:rRNA from 1 species
AACGCUAGCUACAGGCUUAACACAUGCAAGUCAAGGGGAAACGACAUCGAAAGCUUGCUUUUGAUGGGCGUCGACCGGCGCACGGGUGAGUAACGCGUAUCCAACCUGCCCACCACUUGGGGAUAACCUUACGAAAGUAAGACUAAUACCCAAUGAUAUCUCUAGAAGACAUCUGGAGGAGAUUAAAGAUUUAUCGGUGAUGGAUGGGGAUGCGUCUGAUUAGCUUGUUGGCGGGGUAACGGCCCACCAAGGCGACGAUCAGUAGGGGUUCUGAGAGGAAGGUCCCCCACAUUGGAACUGAGACACGGUCCAAACUCCUACGGGAGGCAGCAGUGAGGAAUAUUGGUCAAUGGACGAGAGUCUGGACCAGCCAAGUAGCGUGCAGGAUGACGGCCCUAUGGGUUGUAAACUGCUUUUAUAAGGGAAUAAAGUGAGUCUCGUGAGACUUUUUGCAUGUACCUUAUGAAUAAGGACCGGCUAAUUCCGUGCCAGCAGCCGCGGUAAUACGGAAGGUCCGGGCGUUAUCCGGAUUUAUUGGGUUUAAAGGGAGCGUAGGCCGGAGAUUAAGCGUGUUGUGAAAUGUAGACGCUCAACGUCUGCACUGCAGCGCGAACUGGUUUCCUUGAGUACGCACAAAGUGGGCGGAAUUCGUGGUGUAGCGGUGAAAUGCUUAGAUAUCACGAAGAACUCCGAUUG